rnacentral:rRNA from 1 species
AUUGAACGCUGGCGGCAUGCCUUACACAUGCAAGUCGAACGGUAACAGGUCUUCGGAUGCUGACGAGUGGCGAACGGGUGAGUAAUACAUCGGAACGUGCCCGAUCGUGGGGGAUAACGAAGCGAAAGCUUUGCUAAUACCGCAUAAGAUCUACGGAUGAAAGCAGGGGACCGCAAGGCCUUGCGCGAACGGAGCGGCCGAUGGCAGAUUAGGUAGUUGGUGGGAUAAAAGCUUACCAAGCCGACGAUCUGUAGCUGGUCUGAGAGGACGACCAGCCACACUGGGACUGAGACACGGCCCAGACUCCUACGGGAGGCAGCAGUGGGGAAUUUUGGACAAUGGGCGAAAGCCUGAUCCAGCAAUGCCGCGUGCAGGAUGAAGGCCUUCGGGUUGUAAACUGCUUUUGUACGGAACGAAAAGACUCUGGUUAAUACCUGGGGUCCAUGACGGUACCGUAAGAAUAAGCACCGGCUAACUACGUG